CCCCCACGCACUACCACCAUCACCCAAGGGCGGGGACACAUCCAGCUGGACGCCAGGAAACUCUGCCUUUCCAGAUGGGUCCUCACAUCUGUCCCGGCUCUUCCCCACAGUGACCUUGUCAACAAGCCCAGGCCUGCUGCGGGUGGUUAGGCAGCUUCCCAGACUUGUCCCAGCCAGGUGAUAAAGUCACAGUCCUUGGCCUCCGGGCAGCCUGGGGGGGAGGGCGAGGGGGCAGGACUCAGGACAAACUCCUGGGUGCAGCCCUGGAAUGAUUAACCUCCCUCCCUGACAUGUGAUGAGAAGAAGAAAUUCAGGAGGCCAGAGCAGCCUGGUGAGGCCGGCUCACGCAUUCUGUCAGCCUCCAAAGGACACCAGUGCCAGAGCUGAAGGGCCUGCAGAGGUGCACCCCCACCCCCACCCCCCACUUUGCAGACUGAGGCCCAGGAAGGCUAAGGCAGUAACUGGAGGCAGAAUUUGAACCCAGGGUCUCUGAUGUCAGAGUUUCCCUUCAUUCCAGGUCCUUCCCUUCCCAGCUUGUUGGCCCCCACCCAACAUAGUCCUCUUUGGGGGUGAGGCACUGUGGAGGGGUCAUCUGCAUAGGAACUGGAGUCUCCUCCUCGACCAGGUGCAACGUGAGGGAAGAAACUUUCUUUACUGCAACUUGAGAGCUUCACCUUCCCUCACACCUCUCUGGUGAAGCCAGUGGGGCAGGGAUUGCUGCUCCCACUGGGUUCUCUUCCCUUCUGUCAGCAGCUUUUCCAGGGUGGCCAGGGGCUCUCCCCAGCCGCCCACUUCAUUCCUUCCCCAGUUCCCUGGGUGUCCCGUGCUCUCUCUCCUGGCAGGCAUCUGUCUGUCUGUCCAUACACUCGCUGGGCUCUGGCAGACCCUGCAUGCCUGAGGCUCAAAAAGGGCCUCCCUCAUCUGGGUAGGGGGUGUUGGAGAGAGAGGAACUCGGGGUUUGUUCUGCCCAUUUUACAGAUGAAGAAACUGAGGAUGGCCGACUUGCCCACAGUGGUACAUUGAGCAGUUGUCAGACCAAAGGAUUUGAACCCAGGUCCCCUCCCUAAGGCCCAGUCCACAGUGGGUGGGCUGGUGGGUGACUUAACUUGGGCAGCACAGCUGGGCACAGGCCCGGGGAAGUUGGGGAGAACGCACUGCCUCGGGACAUCCCCUUCCCCUCCCCCUCCCAAAUUUUUCUCCCACCAUGACAUCAUCCUCCUGGGCUUUGUUGUUGAGUUUCUAUUUUGGGAAGGUGACAGAAUUUUCCGCAGCUAUUUUUAGCCUCUUCCCUCCUUCCCUCCCUCAGUCCCUGGGGAUUCCUCCACCUUCCUCCCGGGGCCCCUCCCCCUCUUCUGGUUCCACGGGGCCACCCUAACCCUACUAGACUGCCCUGAACCCUGGAAGAGGGGCCGCCGUCGCGCGCGGGGACAGGGGGAUUCCUGAGGCCAGGUGAACAACAGGUUUUGCCUCCCAAGAAUUUGACUCUCUAGUCAGGCUGAACGUGACUUGGCAGAACUGAAUUCCCUCCUGGGAAGCCCGCUGACCUUUCUGCCCCCGUUGCACGUGCUGCUCCCCCAACACGUGUUUCA
rnacentral:lncRNA from 1 species